AGUGGGGAAUAUUGCACAAUGGGCGCAAGCCUGAUGCAGCGACGCCGCGUGAGGGAUGACGGCCUUCGGGUUGUAAACCUCUUUCAGUAGGGAAGAAGCGUAAGUGACGGUACCUGCAGAAGAAGCGCCGGCUAACUACGUGCCAGCAGCCGCGGUAAUACGUAGGGCGCAAGCGUUAUCCGGAAUUAUUGGGCGUAAAGAGCUCGUAGGCGGUUUGUCGCGUCUGCUGUGAAAGGCCGGGGCUCAACUCCGGUUCUGCAGUGGGUACGGGCAGACUAGAGUGCAGUAGGGGAGACUGGAAUUCCUGGUGUAGCGGUGAAAUGCGCAGAUAUCAGGAGGAACACCGAUGGCGAAGGCAGGUCUCUGGGCUGUAACUGACGCUGAGGAGCGAAAGCAUGGGGAGCGAACAGGAUUAGAUACCCUGGUAGUCCAUGCCGUAAACGUUGGGCACUAGGUGUGGGGGACAUUCCACGUUUUCCG
rnacentral:rRNA from 1 species